AUAAAUGGAUCGCAGAUUAAGUUCGCCACAUCCUGUGGCAACAUCUGCGUGACCUGCAUCGUGCAGG
rfam:Bacillus atrophaeus 1942, complete genome.